rnacentral:rRNA from 1 species
UACGGGGGGGGCAAGCGUUGUUCGGAAUUACUGGGCGUAAAGGGUGCGUAGGUGGCAUGGUAAGUCGGAUGUGAAAUCCCGGGGCUCAACCCCGGAACUGCAUUCGAUACUGCUGCGCUAGAGUACUGGAGAGGAGAUUGGAAUUUACGGUGUAGCAGUGAAAUGCGUAGAUAUCGUAAGGAAGACCAGUGGCGAAGGCGGAUCUCUGGACAGUUACUGACACUGAGGCACGAAGGCCAGGGGAGCAAACGGG